rnacentral:rRNA from 1 species
AGCAGCCGCGGUAAUUCCAGCUCCAAUAGCGUAUAUUAAAGUUGUUGCAGUUAAAAAGCUCGUAGUUGAAUUUCGGGACCAAUAUGUCGGUCGUGCCUCGGUACGUACUGGUGCCAUUGGUUUCUCCCUUCUGAGGAUCCUUGAUGUCAUUAAUUUGGUGUCUUGGGGAAUCAGGACUGUUACCUUGAAAAAAUUAGAGUGUUUAAAGCAGGCAUACGCUUGAAUACAUUAGCAUGGAAUAAUGAAAUAGGACGUUCGAUUCUAUUUUGUUGGUUUCUAGGAUCGACGUAAUGAUUAAUAGGGAUAGUUGUGGGCAUUAGUAUUCAAUUGUCAGAGGUGAAAUUCUUGGAUUUAUUGAAGACUAACUACUGCGAAAGCAUUUGCCAAGGAUGUUUUCAUUAAUCAAGAACGAAAGUUAGGGGAUCGAAGACGAUCAGAUACCGUCGUAGUCUUAACCAUAAACUAUGCCGACUAGGGAUCGGAUGAUGUUAAUUUUUAAUGA